UUUAACUUUUUGUUCUUAAGUUUUUCCUCCUAGCAGGUAAGAAAUACACUUAUUCCUUACUCCAAGGGAGAACAUUCCAUAAGAAUGUAUAAUUUAAAAAUUAUAUGCAUAAUUUAAAAAUUAUACAUAUAAUAAGAAACUAAUGAGCUCUGUAAGCCUUCAUCUAAAGCACAGUAAAAAAAGUAUAUAUAUGUUUCAUUGUAAGCAGACUUUAAUAACAUUGCAUAUCACUUGCAAAAGAUAUGUAAUUGCCUGUCACCCUUCCACCCUUACAUUAUCAUGACGGGCAUUUUUAUACAUUUUCUUCUAGGGUUUACAUCUACUUUUUUUUUAAUUUAUUUUUGUUGUUGUUGAAAAUAGAUGAAGCAGAGUAUACACCGAUUCCACAGGUUAUCUGUGUACAAUUCAGUGACAUUGAUUACAUUCUGCAAGUUGCGCAAUGGAUCUCCCUGUCCUUUUCCAAAUUGUUCCUCCCCCGUUAACAUAAAGUCAGUACCCUCUAAGCUUCCUGUCUAACCUCUCUAGUUGUUAUUGUCAAUUUUUUGUUGUGGUGAAAUAUAUAUAACAUAAAAUCUGCUGUUUUCACUAUUUUGAAAUGUGUAAUUCGGUAGCUCCUGUUUAUUUGAAAAAUAAUCAUACUACACCUUCACUUGGAAACUCUGUGGGGCGGUUCUACUCUGUCCUAUAGGGUCGCUAUGAGUCAGAAUCGACUCGACGGCACUGGGUACUGGGUCACACCUUCACUUAAGGAGCCCUAGUGGCACAGUGGUUAAGUGCUCGGCUGCUAACCAAAAGGUUGGUUUUUCCAAGGGAGAAAGAUGUGGCAGUCUGUUUCCAUAAAGAGUUCACCCUGGGAUACCCUAUGGGGCAGUUCUGCUCUGACCUGUAAGAUCGCUAAGAAUCCCAGCGGUCAUGGUCCCCAAACCUUCUGUUGGCCCAGGACAGGAACCAUUCCCGAAGACAACUCAUCACAAAAUGGAAGGGACCGGACAGUGGGUUGGAGAGAGAUGCUGACGAAGAGUGAGCUACUUGUAUCAGAUGGACACUUGAGACUGUGUUGGCAUCUCCUGUCUGGAGGGGAGAUAGGAGGGUAGAGAGGGUUAGAAACUGGCAAAAUUGUCACGAAAGGAGAGACUGGAAGAGCUGACUCAUUAGGGGGAGAGUAAGUGGGAGUAUGGAGUAAAGUGUUUAUAAGCUUAUAUGUGACAGACUGACUUGAUUUGUAAACGUUCACUUAAAGCUCAAUAAAAAUUAUUAAAAAAAAAAAAAAGAAGGCCUCUUUCUGGUCAUAGUUUGGGGCUGCAGGGAACCUGAAAAAUGGAAGGGAAGUAAUACUCCUUGGCUACCACUGUAUGGCAGCCUUGCACAUUGCCGUAUUUCAUCCUCAUAAUAACCCUAUGACGAAAUGUUUUCCUAGUCUACAGGUAAGGAACCUGAGGCCCAAGGUCGUACAUACCUAUUACUCAUAGUGACCCUAUAGGACAGAGCAGAACUGCCCCAUAGGGUUUCCAUCUUUCCGGAAACUGACUGCCGCAUCUUCUCCCACGGAGUGGGCUGGUCAGUGGGCUCCCACUGACUUUUGGUUAGCAGCCAAACGCUUAACCCCUGUACCACCAGGACUCCAGGUUGUUCAUAAAAAAACAAAAACCAAACCCAUUGCCACUGAGUCCAUUUUGACUCAUAGCGACCCUAUAAGGAGCUCCUGUAUUGACACCAAGGCCUCUGUUGCCUCUGACACUCAAGUUUAUCACCCCAUGCUGCCUUGCUGGAGACCAGUUUAAUUGUACAGUUGAGUCAGCCGUCUGGGACAUACAGGUGAGGGAAUUUGCCUAAGGUUAUCUAAGUUGUUAGAGGAAGUGCCUGGGCCAGAACUGGGGACUCCUGCUAACUUAGGGUGGGUACCUUAAAGGAUGUCAAACAACUCUGACCACUGUUAGUCCAUCUUUGCUGCUCUCAGCAGGUCCCAACGCCAUUGUGAUCACUGGGAGACCCUGGGCUGGAGUCGGGGACUGGGUUCUUGUUCCAGGUGUGAUGUUGCCUUCUGAGCUUGUCCUUUCAGGUUCUCUUUUAGGUCUCUUUUCAGUCAUAUUUCAUUCCCUCUCUCUGCCCCCCUGCUCUUUUUUAGGCAAAGGACCGGUAAACCAGUUGCCACUGAGUCAGUUCUGACUCAUGGCAACCCCAUGUGUGUCAGAGGAGACCUGUGCUCCAUAGGGUUUUCAAUGCCUGAUUUUUUGGAAGUAGGCAGCCAGGCCUUUCUUCUGAGGUACCUCUAGGUGGACUCUAACCUUUCAGUUAGCAGCCAAGCAUGCUAACCAUUUACACCACCCAGGGACCCUCCUGCUUUCUAACCUUUCAAGCCAAACAAGAAAAGCUCUUGUGUCCCGGCGUAAGCUUUGGCUGAAGCGCAGUCACACUUGCAUGUUAACAUGCGUUUUCAGGCCUUUGCUCUCUAAGCCCCUCCUCGUGGAGAAUUUUAUGGAAUAGUAAGUUAUUUUUGUUUGUUUAGAGGAAGGAAGUUUAGGGAGAGGAGAUUCUCCUUGCUUCAGACGGAUCCUGAAGGUAAACUGACAUUAUUUAGUAUCUAAGAAGUGCUGUCCUUGUUGUUAGUUGCCAUGGAGUCAAUUCUGACUCAUGGCGACCCCAUGUGUGCAGAGCACAGUUGCUGUAUAGGGUUUUCAGAAGUAUAUCACCGGGUCUACCUUGCGAGAUGCCUUGGGGUGGGUUUGAACCACCAACCUUUCGGCUAGUAGUUAAUCACUGAACCAUUUGCACCACCCACGGACUAAGGAGUACUGGUAGUAAGGAAAACUAGAGGUAGCGGGGUAUUCCCCUCUCCUCCUUGCCCCCCUCCUUCUACCCUGAAUGAGUAGUUUCAUUGUUCUGGUCACCCAGGAAGUCAUCUUUGACUCAUCCAUGUGCAGUAAUUGCUGAGCCAUGUGGAUCAGCUCUUCCCAGUGCCUCACCUGUCCUCCUCUUCCCAGUCCCCCUGGUGACACCAUCAUUCAGGCCCUUGUACCUGCCCUGCUCCAUUGCAGGCCACCCUUCCCGACUGAUCCUUCUACCGCAGUACCAUUCCCCCAUUCCACUUGAAGCACCUAUCUCGCCUCCUCCUUCUGGUCCCCAGAGCCUUCUCCACACUCUGCAUUCACCGUAUGGUGCUGGUCAUUUCCUCCUACCACCCUCCCGUGUCUGCUGUUUCUCAACCUCGAGUUCAACCCCCUGCUCCCUGACCAUGCUCUUUCCCUAAGCUGGGUCCUUCUUCUGAGAAACCCUAGUGGUCAGCUAAACGUUGGCUCCCACCCCACACCUUUGUGACUUCUCUCUUCAGAGAAAGCAUGUCGCUCUUGGUUUAUCUCUGUGUGACAGAUGCCACACUUGCCUUAUGUGGCAGGCACAUGUGCUUUUGUCCCAUCCUAAACCCUAGAUGCUACCAUUAGUGAUGGGGCCUCAGCUACGUGCCUACGUGUGUGUAGCAUUUAAUCAAGUGAAGUCUGUCAACUUUGUUGUAACUGUACAGUAAAUGGCACUCACGUAUGAGGAAUAGAGGAGGCCCUGGGUGGUGUAAACAGUUAAGCAUUUGAGUACUAACCUGAAGGUUGGCGGUUCACACCCACCUAGAGGUACCUUGGAAGAAAGGCCCGUGACCUGCUUCUGAAAGAUCACAGCCUUGAAAAUCCUCUGGAGCAGCCGUACUCUGUAUAUAUGGGGGCGCCAUGAGUCGGAAGUGACUCAACAGCCGUGAGUUUUUACCAUGAGGCAUAGGAAGGUAAAGGAAAGAGCAUAGAGUUUGGAGUUGGGGACAUCUAGGUUUGAAAUCCGGCUUCUGCACUAGUGGACAAGUUACUUUACCACUGUGAGUUACUAGACUUCUGUACGUCUUUUUUCUUUUUCAUUUGUAAAACAGAGAUAACGCUACCGCCUGUCAGGGUUGUUGGUGGGUAGUUUGUGUCAAGAUCCUUGUACAGAGUCAGACGCACGAUGGGCGCUGGGAACAGUUGCUACGUUCAGUCGUUAUGAGGUGCUGCUCGUGUACAGUCACAGCGUAGAAGAAUUCGGGGGGCCGUGGCCACUGCGUCAUGGUGGAUCCGAGCCUGAGAGGGCACCCUGUGGAGGCCCUGGCACUUGGAACAGCCUGCAGGCUUUACCCUGUGACAUUCCUAGAAGACACGAAUAGGAAUGCAUGCCUUGUAGGAUCACUGUUGGAAUCCCAUCAGUUUCUCUUAAGGCCUUCUGGGAAAUGCCUCAAGAAUUGACCCUCUCAUGCCCAGAACGAAGAUGCCGAGUAAGGAACAGCAUAGACCCAGCUCUCUCUCCCUUUCUGUGCUUUCUGCAUGCGCAGACUGCUGCCGGCCUCCAUCAGUGCCCCGUCGGAAGCCGUGCUGCUCAGACUGUGGGAAUUGGUGAGCAGAUGGCCCCGCUGGCAGCUGCUCCUGGCUCCCGCACCAUCCUGGGAGCUGCCCCAGUCUGGCAUGAGACAUACGUGAUUGUGUGCCAGGCCAGGCACUGGGGAGAUAUUCUGGCUGUGUUCUCCCCAGAGUGUGGGUCAGGAACGAAUGCUGCUGUUGCUGUUUUCAUUCUGGCUGUGUUCUCCCCAGAGUGUGGGUCAGGAACGAAUGCUGCUGUUGCUGUUUUCAUCUAGUGUUUCCAAGUCAAGCACAUGAAAAUGUUCAUUGGGAUUCUUACAGUUUUUUCUUCUUUUCAGUCACCUGGCCGGGCACACAUUUGGGCCAGAGCAGCAGAAUUUUGCCCUUCUCUUUUAUUUGGUUGCUUUGGUAAGCUGUAAACUCCAUUACACCUCAGCCUUUUCUUCCUCACUCCCUUCUCCUUUCAGUCUGAAUCUGGAGUUCCCAGGGGACACCAUUCUCCUUAUAACCCGACAGCAUCAAGAUGGUAUGGGGCUGGCAUAUCCUUGCUCUUUAGAUUACAGUUCCCCUGGCCUCAUUCAUCAUGCCUUCUUUUGAAGCCUUACCACCUUUUUGGGUUUCUCUCUGCCCAUCUUUUUUUUAUAUAUAUAUAAUUUUUAGUGUGCUUUAAGUGAAAGUUUACAAAUCAAGUCAGUCUCACACACAAAAACUUAUAUAUACCUUGCAACACACUCCCAAUUACUCUCCCCCUAAUGAGACAGCCCGCUCUCUCCCUCCACUCUCUCUUUUCCUGUCUGUUUCGCCAGCUUCUAACCCCCUCCACCCUCUCAUCUCCCCUCCAGGCAGGAGAUGCCAACAUAGUCUCAAGUGUCCACCUGAUCCAAGAAUCUCACUCCUCACCUGCAUCCCUCUCCAACCCACUGUCCAGUCCAAUCCAUGUCUGGAGAGUUGUCCGUGCCCUUCUUGACGGUGUCUCUUAGCCUGAACUGUCCCUGUUGAUGUUGUCGUUAGCUACCGUUGAGUCAGCCCGCCUACUCAUGGUGACCCCAUGCACAAAGGAAUUGGACCCUUGUAACCCAUAGUGUUUUCAUUCACUGGUUUUCAGAAAUAGAUCUCCAGGCCUUUCUUCCUAGUCUGUCUGAGCUUGGAAGCGCCACUGAAAUCUGUUCAGCAUCACGACGACGUGUAAACCCCCACUGACAGACGGGGUGGUGGCUGUGCAUGGGGUGCGUUGGCCGGGAAGCAGGCCUGGGCCUCCCGCACAGAAGGCGAGAAUUUCACCACUGAACCACAGCAGCCAUCCCCCGUUGAUGGUCUGUCCGAUUGAGUCCUGCCAGCAGUGGAUGAGUACGUGCCCACUCCAGGUUCUGUAGAUGGAGAAGUGUGUGACUGAUUUAGUUUUCUAGCACUGUGUAACAAGUUACCACAAACUGGGUGGCAUAAAACAACAUGCACGCGUUAUCUCAGUUUCCAUGGGUCAGGAGUCGAGCACGGCUUAGCUGGGUCCUCUACUCAGGGUCUUACAAGGCAGCAAUCAAGAUGUCAGUUGGGGAUGGGGCGUCAUCUGAGGCUCGGGGUCCUCUUCUAAACUCACAUGGUGGUUGGCAGAAUUCAUUUUCUUGCAGCUGUAGAAGUCAUGGUGGUUUCUUCAAGACCAAGAAGGGAGUCAGCCACUAUGGCGUCUUAUGUAAUGGAAUGUAAUCUCAGAGUGCUUCUCCCAUCUCCUCUCUAUGCAACACAAGCUAAUUAAGGAAGCUGCUAUCUCAUCAUGUUCACGGGCCCUCACUUACAGUCUCAGUCUGUGUGUGUGUUCUUUAGUUGCCCCCAGUCUAUGUAGAGAAAACAGACAUGUAAACAAGUAGGCUUCCCAUUCAGAGUUACGAAUAUAAUGGGGAUGUAUUAUGUAACAGCCCUAGGUGGCACAGUUUGUGCUCAGCUGCUCACCAAAAGGUUGGCAGUCUGAGUCCACCCACAGGCACCACAGAACAAAGGCCUGGCACUCUACUUCUGCAAGAUCACAGCCAUUGAAAACGCUCUGGAGCAGCUCUACGCCGACUCACAAUGGGUUGCCAUGAGUCAGAAUCGACUCGAUGGCAAUGGUUAUUUUUGUUUGUUUUUAUGUAAAGGUAAUGCUGACAGGUAUGCCUAGUCUUUGUGGGAAGAGGCCAAGUGGCAUUGGGGUGCCCCACAGCGUUUGACUGCCACACUAGUGAAUGACAGUCUCUCCUCUCGGCAAGCUGCAUGCUUGUUUGUACCUAGGGUCACAGGAUCUCUUGGCGCUGCCCCCACCUUGAAUAUUUCAGCCUCUGAAAUAUCACCUCCAUUGAUUCUUAGUUUUUCCCAUGGGAGAGACAGACCUGGGUUUGGUUACCCCGUCACUUCACCGGACCAUUGUGUGGCCUUGGCCAAGGCUAUUUCAGAUGGGUGUAAUAAUAUGCAGGUUGUUGGGUUGCCGUCAGAAUUAAGUGUGAGAAUCUCAUGAACUUCUCCUCACUUAGCAGACAUUGCACAGGCACCCCCUGCCCGUACCUCCUCCAGGGGGCCUCUUCUGCAGGAAGUGCGUCAUCAGGCUUCCUUUUUCUCCCACAGGCAUUUUCUCUCACUGGUGUUCCCUUGGGACAAUAUACUUGACCUGUAGUAUAUUUAUUUAAGUGCAUGAAUGUCCCUCACCACCAGGACCAGCUUCAUCACUUGUGGGGCCCAGUGCAAAUUGAAAAUGUGGAUCCACUUGUCAAAAAAUUAUGAAGAAUUUCAAGAUGGUGGCCAAAAAAAACCAAACCAGUUGCUGUCAAGUCAAUGCUAACUCAUCGCGACCCCAUAGGACAGAGUGGAGCUGCCCCAUAGAGUUUCCAAGGAGCGCCUUGUGGAUUCAAACUACAGACCUUUUGGUUAGCAGCUAUAGCCCUUAAACACUGCGCCACCAGGGUUUCCAAGAUGGUGACAGCAGAACAUUAAACCAAGUGUAGAGCCUUCUGAGGGCGGGGCCUCGAGCGUCUGCUCAGGGUGCCUGUCCACGGACCUGGCCCUGCCUGCUAGGCUGUGAGCCCACCCUGAGCACAGGUCCUUCUUCGUCUCUAUCCUCACAGUGCCUGGCUUGCACUGGAUGGGCCAAAAACCAACCAAACCUGUUGCCAUCAAGUUGUUUCUAACUCACAGCUACCCUAUAGGACAGAGUAGAGCCACCCCAUAAGGUUUCCAAGGAGCAGCUGGUGGAUUCGAACUGCCGACCCUUUGGUUAGUAGCCGAGCUCUUAACCACUCCGUAGAAGUCUGUAAAUUGAAUUUUCCAUUGUUUCAUGUUGAGGAACUCAUGGUGUUCUUGGACAACAGGAAACAACGGAGAGAUCUCCCCUACAGUUGAGUGAUAUACAUAGGCUCUGUCAGAGCAGACUCAGCAGCCCUCUGUUCUGAUCUGUCUGCUUAUGAGUAACUAGUCAUUCGUUCAGUAAAGAAUUAUUGAGCUCCUGCUAUGUGCAAGCACUGGUCUUGUAGCUGGGAAGAUAGCAGGGAAUCACAUGGACAAAAUCCCUGUCCUCAGGAGCUGACAUUCUGCUGGGGGAUACAAGACAGUAAGACCACCAAGUAUGAUAAUAGGGUGUAUCUAAGUGCUGAGGAGAAAAAUAAAGCAGGGGCAGGGGAUAUGAACACUUUUAAAACACAGUCCAGUUUGUUAGUUGCCUUAUGUGUAUUAUUUUGUUUAAUAUACACAAAAAAAUCGUGUAAGAAAUGCACCGUUUUUGGUCCCAUUCUGCGGAUGAGAAGACUGAGCCUCAGAGAGUUCAGUAACUGGCCUAAUUCCAUAUAGUAGUAAGUGCUAGAGCCAAUACCGCCACGUUUCAUGUCUUUUUAACUCCAAAACUUGUGCUUUUAGCCCCACAAGCAAGAGCCAUCUCCGCUUACCCCCUGGAUGGUUCAGAUCUCUCACUAGGGGGCAGAACCAUGGCUUUGCAGUCUUCUUGCUCCCGAAACCCAGUGGUACCACCGUGAGCUGUGAGUUCUAGGCAAAUCCCUUCACCUUCCUGCCCUUCCUUCUCCUAUUUAAAACGAGAAUUGUUGCAGGUAAGCUAGGUGAAACCAAAAAACCAAACCUGUGGCUGCCACAUCCAUUCCGACUUAUGGCAACCCCAUGUGCUACAGAGUGGAGCUGCUCCAUGGGGUUUUCUUGGCUGUAAUCUUUUACAGAGGCAGAUUGCCAGGCGUUUCUUCCAUGGUCCCCCUGGGUGGGUCCAAACCACCAACCUUUAGGUUAGUAGUCGAGUGCAAGGGUAACCUAGCUAGUUUCUGUUAACCAGGUGCCUGUGUAGUGUGGGCAUUAUGCACUUUAUCUAGCUUUGACAUCACAAGCCUGCAAAGUAGGGACUCUCCUCAUUGUAGGAAACUGCAGAUCAGAGAGCCUGGUGAGAGGCCAGAGCCAGGAUUUGAACACAGGUCUCUGUGCCUAAAAAAAAAACCCAUGUUCCUCACUUUGGCUGCUCUUCCUCAUGGCAGAUGUGCAAAUUCUUGCUCAGGCUUGUCCCUUCCCCCCUUUAUAGGUAAUAGCCUCCCACCGACUCCCAGUUUUAAACACUGAGAUAAGAUAUACAAAGUGUACUCAAAAUUCUGGGUCUGUUAUAUGGCUUUGCUGUUUCUUUCAGUUUAAACAGGUAUUUGUUCUGGCAGUUUGUUGGGACAUUUGAUUUCUUUUUUUUUUUAGUAAUAUUGUGUUUUUGGUGAAUGUUUACACAACAAAUUAAGUUCCCAUUUUUAAAAAUGUAUACAAAUGGUUUUGUGACAUUGGUUACAUUUUUCACAGUGUGGCAGCAUUCUCAUUAUUUCCAUUCUGUUUGUUCUGUUUUGGUUAAUCUAGCUUCCCUGCCCCUUCUUCCCUCUCCUCUUUGCUUUAGGGUAAAUGUUGACUGUUUGAUCUAAUAUAGUUGAAGGGACAUUUGAUUUUUAGAAUCAGUUUGGCCUCAGUAUAAAGGAGAAACUCUUGACACCCCUCACUUUUUCUUUUUUUAUAAGAAAACUCAUUCUAGACAAGGGACAAAUGAGAACAGAGAGGAGAAGAGUUAAUUUUACGUUGAUUCUGUUGAAACUUAAUUAAACGUAUUAUUAAGGUUAACUUUAAAUGAAUCGCGCUCCGAGUCUAGUAGGUUUCAUUAAAUGUCCGGAGUACCAGUGCUUAGACUUCAGAAGAAUGCCAUGGGACCCUGGGGUCCUUCUUCCUAGGUACUGUGCAUGCCAGGGGAGUGUGUGUGCACGUGUGCAAAUACCGGGAAUGCUCAUGCCAGCUCUGUGCAGGGAGGUGGUGAUGGUACCAGUGAUCUUCCUCAUGGUACAUGGGACAGAGGUGUGUGGGAGUGGGGUAGGGGGGUGUCAGGAAACCUAGAUUUUGUCCUGAGGUGUACCAUCUGCUGUGCAACCUUAGGCGAGUCACUUCACCUCUCUGGUCCCCUGUUUCCUCCUAUGUACUACGAAAAAAAAAAAAAAACUAUGAAAAGACAGGAUUAAA